CUCUUUUGCUCUAAUAUUGAAUGUGUGGAAGGUUUGGACUUGAAUAUUCUCUUAAAUGAACUUUCUUUUUAACUCUUUAUGUUCCCCCACUUGAAAUCAUUUCUAAAAUAUCAUAAAAAAUGGCUGGAAGAGGUAAUUUGACUAUUGGAGUAGCCAAAUUAGCCGUUGACCAUAUUUUCUAUCCAUUGAAGAAGUAUUGAAAAACUAGCCGUUAGGUUGUCAGAUGCAAAGAAUCGACUCCUCUUCUCCAG
rnacentral:lncRNA from 1 species